GGGAAUGUAGCUCAAAUGGUAGAGAGCUUGCUUAGCAUGCGAGAGGUACGGGGAUUGAUACCCUGCAUCUCCA
rnacentral:tRNA from 1 species